rnacentral:rRNA from 1 species
UACGGAGGAUCCAAGCGUUAUCCGGAUUCAUUGGGUUUAAAGGGUGCGUAGGCGGGCAGGUAAGUCAGUGGUGAAAUCUCCGGGCUUAACCCGGAACUGCCGUUGAUACUAUCUGUCUUGAAUAUCGUGGAGGUAAGCGGAAUAUGUCAUGUAGCGGUGAAAUGCUUAGAUAUGACAUAGAACACCCAUUGCGAAGGCAGCUUACUACACGAUCAUUGACGCUGAGGCACGAAAGCGUGGGGAGCAAACAGG